AAGGAACUCUUUUUGUGGACAAUGCACCUAAGACCAUCUCCGUUGGGGGUCUUUUAAAAGAGGUUCUAAACAGAAGUGAAAAAAAAAAAUGAAAAAGCCCAAAAAAGAAGAACAGCCGCUUAACUUGGGCCUUUUAGAGCUGGUAAGAAUCCCUAACGUGUCAGUUUGGUAUUGGACAGCCCCCACCGACUUCGUCAGCUUCGGCGAGAUGCUCAUCGACUUCGUCCCCACCGAGUCCGGCGUCUCCCUCGCCGAGGCUCCAGUUUUCCUCAAAGCUCCCGGCGGCGCUCCGGCUAUCGUCGCCAUCGCCGUUUCUCGCUUCGGUGGACAAUCCGCCUUCGGCGGAAAACUCGGCGACAACGAGUUCGGCCACAUGUUGGCUGGGAUCCUGAGGAAAAACGGCGUCGCUGAUCAGGAGUUUAACUUCGAUACCGGAGCCAGAACCGCCUUGGCGUUCGUGACGUUGAAGGCCGACGGUGAUCGGGAAUUUGUGUUUUACUGGAAUCAUAGCGCCGAUAUGUUGCUCCGUCCCGAUGAACUCAACCUCGAGCUCAUCAGAUCGGUACGUAAAUCUCUUCUCUCUCUAUCCCUCAUGAUAUUCAAGAGAUCCAGAUGGAAGUAGAGAUUCAUAGUGUAGUUUUUUUUAAUUUUUGUAUAGAGUUAAAGAGAUGUGUAAGUAUAUGGAAUCGGUGAUUAUUGAUUGCUCUGAAUAACGUAGAAGAUGAUCUCACUCACUCUAAUGGGAUAUGUAUCAAUUAAUGCUAACUAACGGUGACUUUUGUUAUCUUCCUCUUGAGGUUAUGAUGAAGAUCAGAAGAGAGAAGCUUCAAGAGAAAGCAAGGAUGGAGGAAAGGAUGAAACUCAGAUGGUAGUAUCUGAAUUUAGCUUCACAUGAUCACACCAAUUCUACUUGGUUUAGCCUUUUAUCUGAUCUAGCAGAAGUCUCUGUUUUGAAGGAACUUGACUUUUACUCAUGCACCGUUUUGACUUCUCUGAUUCCGUUGAGUGAGUUCUCGGAAGCUGCAGUGAUGAAGAAGUAUGGAGUGCAGCCAGAUGCUGAAACCCUUGACAUUCCCAACACUGCCGCUAGGCAGAAAUCUGUAAGCUUCUUCUUUCCCUUUUUUUUUGGAUGGAUGAAUCUCUCUUCAAAGCCUUGUCAAACGGUAACCGUGGCCUUGGUGGUCUUAAGAGGAUGAUAAUGGGAAGCGUAAGCAACCAUGUUGUGAACAACGUCGCAUGCCAUGUUACCGCCGUGAAGGCUCACCACUGAGCUCUGUUUUGAUAUUGCUCGGGGAACCUGAUAACCGGUGUAUGUCCUAAGAUUUUUGUAUCGUAAUCUGUAUUCUCAACUCUUGUGUGACUUGUAUGUUGUUUAAAUUGUGCAUCAUUGUGCAUAAAAAAUAAAGUUUUUAAGAACCUCAAAGAGGUUCUGCCAUUA